rnacentral:rRNA from 1 species
UACAGAGGGGGCAAGCGUUGUUCGGAAUUACUGGGCGUAAAGGGCGCGUAGGCGGCCUGUUAAGUCGGACGUGAAAUCCCCGGGCUCAACCCGGGAACUGCGUCCGAUACUGGCAGGCUUGAAUCCGGGAGAGGGAUGUGGAAUUCCAGGUGUAGCGGUGAAAUGCGUAGAGAUGUGGAGGAACACCAGUGGCGAAGGCGACUCUUUGGCCUAUAACUGACGCUGAGGCGCGAAAGCGUGGGGAGCAAACAGG